CUUCCGCGUCGACAAGCAAACGUGCACUGAGAAUUGGGGCCGACGAGGCCUCCUUAUAUAGUUUCUUUAUGUCUGUGAGUCUCUUUGCCUGCCUGUCUCUCUUUCUGUCUCUCUGCCUGUCUCUUUGCCUCGUGUCUCUCUUCCUGUGUCUCGGUAUGUCUCUUUGCCUGUCUCUCUUUGCCUGCUGUCUCUCUUCCUGUGACUCUGUCUGUCUCUUUGCCUCCCUCUCUGCCUGUCCCUCUGCUUGCUGUCU
rnacentral:lncRNA from 1 species